rnacentral:rRNA from 1 species
AAUGGGUCAGCGACUUAUAUUCUGUAGCAAGGUUAACCGAAUAGGGGAGCCGAAGGGAAACCGAGUCUUAACUGGGCGUUAAGUUGCAGGGUAUAGACCCGAAACCCGGUGAUCUAGCCAUGGGCAGGUUGAAGGUUGGGUAACACUAACUGGAGGACCGAACCGACUAAUGUUGAAAAAUUAGCGGAUGACUUGUGGCUGGGGGUGAAAGGCCAAUCAAACCGGGAGAUAGCUGGUUCUCCCCGAAAGCUAUUUAGGUAGCGCCUCGUGAAUUCAUCUCCGGGGGUAGAGCACUGUUUCGGCAAGGGGGUCAUCCCGACUUACCAACCCGAUGCAAACUGCGAAUACCGGAGAAUGUUAUCACGGGAGACACACGGCGGGUGCUAACGUCCGUCGUGAAGAGGGAAACAACCCAGACCGCCAGCUAAGGUCCCAAAGUCAUGGUUAAGUGGGAAACGAUGUGGGAAGGCCCAGACAGCCAGGAUGUUGGCUUAGAAGCAGCCAUCAUUUAAAGAAAGCGUAAUAGCUCACUGGUCGAGUCGGCCUGCGCGGAAGAUGUAACGGGGCUAAACCAUGCACCGAAGCUGCGGCAGCGACACUAUGUGUUGUUGGGUAGGGGAGCGUUCUGUAAGCCUGUGAAGGUGUACUGUGAGGUAUGCUGGAGGUA